CUCACAACCUCAACAGUGAUUAACACAGAAACAUACAAGCUAAAUUGAGAAAUAUUAUUAGAAUGUUUAGAAUUAAGUCCCUUUAUAUAUGAGGGAAAUUGUCAUGAGAUACUCAUGAGGUAACUAUCUCAUUUAGAAAAUGAUGAAGUGGCUUCAACAUGAUUAUGAAGAAACAUUGGACUUCCAGCCGAGGCACUGGCCUGUGCUUUAUCAAUAUUUAUGGUAGUGCCAACCUGUAGGUCUAGUGAUUAACAACCAUGAGUUGUCUUGGUGUCAUUACUUUGAGGAUAUGAAACAGAAGCAGCAAACAGACUCCAAUGCCAUUCAUUACCCAAACCUACACUCCUUUCCUUAUAGGAAACUCACUUAAGUCAUUACAAUGCUUUAUGUCUCAGUGUAUCUUUAAUAAAUUUGGAAGCUGAAUUGGGAAGUCUUUAGGCCACUUUAGGCAAUGUAUGGGUUUUUUGUUUUCUUUUGAGAUGGAGUCUCACUCUGUCACCCAGGCUGGAGUGCAGUGGCAUGAUUUCAGCUCAUUGCAACCUCCGCCUCCUGGGUUCAAGCAAUUCUCUGCCUCAGCCUCCUGAGUAGCUGGGAUUACAGGUGCCCACCACCACGCCUGGCUAAUUUUUGUGUUUUUAGUAGAGAUGGGUUUUCACCAUGUUGGCCAGAUUGGUCUUGAACUCCUAACCUUGUGAUCCACCCGCCUCGGACUCCCAGAGUUCUGGAAUUACAGGCGUGAGCCACCUCACCCGACCUGUACGGUUUUUUGACAGGCAGAGAUGGACGUAACAUCAGUCACGGGCAAAGAUUACCACCAGGGGGCAGACUAGGGCAUCCUUGGGAUUCUGUGAUCAGUCAUCCCUCCUCGCUGGUGAAUGGAGGCAGUGGUCACAACUCUACCCAGAGAAGGUGGUGUGAGGCCAUCACGGAAGAUGCUGCUGCUUCUGCUGCUUCUGCUGCUUCUGGGGACAGGCUCCGGGCUUGGUGCUGUCGUCUCUCAACAUCCGAGCAGGGUUAUCUGUAAGAGUGGAACCUCUGUGAAGAUCGAGUGCCGUUGCCUGGACUUUCAGGCCACAACUAUGUUUUGGUAUCGUCAGUUCCCGAAACAGAGCCUCAUGCUGAUGGCAACUUCCAAUGAGGGCUCCAAGGCCACAUACGAGCAAGGCGUCGAGAAGGACAAGUUUCUCAUCAACCAUGCAAGCCUGACCUUGUCCACUCUGACAGUGACCAGUGCCCAUCCUGAAGACAGCAGCUUCUACAUCUGCAGUGCUAGAGACACAGCGCCAGGAGGGGAUCAGAGACUGCGGCAAGAACCCCUGCAGCUGCCCUCCGCCCCAGCGGGCCCCCUGAGUGCUGAGAGGGGAAGCGUGGAGAAUGGAAAACCACAGCUUUCCUGA